UUUUCGGCAAUGGGGGGAACCCUGACCGAGCAACGCCGCGUGAAGGAAGAAGGAAUUCGUUCUGUAAACUUCUGUUAUAAAGGAAGAAAGACGGAUGGAGGAAAUGAUAUCCGUGUGACGGUACUUUAUGAGAAAGCCACGGCUAACUACGUGCCCGGAGCCGCGGUAAUACGUAGGUGGCAAGCUGUAUCCGGAAUUAUGGGGCGUAAAGAGGGAGCAGGCGGCAGCAAAGGUCUGUGGUGAAAGACUGAAGCUUAACUUCAGUAAGCCAUAGAAACCAGGCAGCUAGAGUGCAGGAGAGGAUCGUGGAAUUCCAUGUGUAGCGGUGAAAUGCGUAGAUAUAUGGAGGAACACCAGUGGCGAAGGCGACGAUCUGGCCUGCAACUGACGCUCAGUCCCGAAAGCGUGGGGAGCAAAUAG
rnacentral:rRNA from 1 species